rnacentral:rRNA from 1 species
GUCCACGCCCUAAACGAUGUCAACUGGUUGUUGGGUCUUAACUGACUCAGUAACGAAGCUAACGCGUGAAGUUGACCGCCUGGGGAGUACGGCCGCAAGGUUAAAACUCAAAGGAAUUGACGGGGACCCGCACAAGCGGUGGAUGAUGUGGUUUAAUUCGAUGCAACGCGAAAACCUUACCCACCUUUGACAUGGUCGGAAUCCUUUAGAGAUAGAGGAGUGCUCGAAAGAGAGCCGAUACACAGGUGCUGCAUGGCUGUCGU